AUGUGCUGCCCAGAUGUGUCUCCCACCUCCACUUUUCUCGUAGGACUGAUGUGCUUGACAGCUUUCAGCAACUUUGCUAAGACUUCUGCAGACUUCUCAGGUUACAUUUCACAGGUAUUAAAAAAUUACACUGAUCAUGCCUGUGAUGGAGAAUAUGUUUCCCUGAGGUGCCCCCACAGAACUACCAUCAGCAUCCAGUCUUCUUUCUAUGGCAGAAUUGUACCAAGUCAUCAGAUGUGUCCUUCUCGCUCUCCCCGCUCCUUUGCAACCUUAAUUAAGGAAGAUGUUGCCUGUUCAGUUGGCACUUCCCUUCAGGUAUUUCAUGUUAAACUGGAUCUGUUCAUUUUGGAGUUCUUUCCUAGGCCAGACAUUUCUUAAUUUUCCUGUGGUUCUAGUCAGUAUUC
rnacentral:lncRNA from 1 species